CGGCGGAACACGUGAAAUUCCGUCGGAAUCCGGGAGGACCAUCUCCCAAGGCUAAAUACUCCCUAGUGACCGAUAGUGAACCAGUACCGUGAGGGAAAGGUGAAAAGCACCCCGGAAGGGGAGUGAAACAGUUCCUGAAACCGUGUGCCUACAAGUAGUUAGAGCCCGUUAAUGGGUGAUAGCGUGCCUUUUGUAGAAUGAACCGGCGAGUUACGAUUUGUUGCAAGGUUAAGCGGAAAAAGCGGAGCCGUAGCGAAAGCGAGUCUGAAUAGGGCGCAUAAGUAACAGGUCGUAGACCCGAAACCAGGUGAUCUACCCAUGUCCAGGAUGAAGGUAAGGUAAUACUUACUGGAGGUCCGAACCCACGCACGUUGAAAAGUGCGGGGAUGAGGUGUGGGUAGCGGAGAAAUUCCAAUCGAACUUGGAGAUAGCUGGUUCUCUCCGAAAUAGCUUUAGGGCUAGCCUCGAGGUAAAGAGUCAUGGAGGUAGAGCACUGUUUGGACUAGGGGCCCUUCUCGGGUUACCGAAUUCAGAUAAACUCCGAAUGCCAUGUACUUAUACUCGGGAGUCAGACUGCGAGUGAUAAGAUCCGUAGUCGAAAGGGAAACAGCCCAGACCACCAGUUAAGGUCCCCAAAUAUAUGUUAAGUGGAAAAGGAUGUGGGGUUGCUUAGACAACCAGGAUGUUGGCUUAGAAGCAGCCACCAUUGAAAGAGUGCGUAAUAGCUCACUGGUCGAGUGACCCCGCGCCGAAAAUGUACCGGGGCUAAACAUAUUACCGAAACUGUGGAUGAACCUCUUUAGAGGUUCGUGGUAGGAGAGCGUUCUAAGGGCGGUGAAGUCAGACCGGAAGGACUGGUGGAGCGCUUAGAAGUGAGAAUGCCGGUAUGAGUAGCGAAAGAAGGGUGAGAAUCCCUUCCACCGAAUAUCUAAGGUUUCCUGAGGAAGGCUCGUCCGCUCAGGGUUAGUCGGGACCUAAGCCGAGGCCGAUAGGCGUAGGCGAUGGACAACAGGUAGAGAUUCCUGUACCAGUGCUAAUUGUUUAACCGAUGGGGUGACACAGAAGGAUAGGGAAUCGCACGAAUGGAAAUGUGCGUCCAAGCAGUGAGUGUGAGAAGUAGGCAAAUCCGCUUCUCGCGAAGCAUGAGCUGUGAUGGGGAAGGAAAUUAAGUACGGAAGUUCCUGAUUUCACGCUGUCAAGAAAAGCCUCUAGGAAGAGUAGUACUGCCCGUACCGCAAACCGACACAGGUAGAUGAGGAGAGAAUCCUAAGGUGAGCGAGAGAACUCUCGUUAAGGAACUCGGCAAAAUGACCCCGU
rnacentral:rRNA from 1 species